UGUCAUCAUUCCAUUUACUUCAAAUCAAGGCUCAUCAGCAGAAAUGACUUUCUAACCCUCAUUUUCUCUAAAGCUUCUGUUUUAUCCUGAAUCACCAUUCCCUUUCUUCAUAACAUUUAAUACAAUGUCUAACUAUAAAUGCCUGUUAUUUUGUACAUUGACUGACCAUUUCCCUCACUAGACAAGAAUCUCCCAUGAGGGCAGUGACCAUGACUAUUGGUCCAUUACUAUAGUAUGAUGGUAGGUUCGUAAUAAACAUGAAAUAUUUUGUUGAGUAUUUGUUGAAUUUAAGACUUCUCAUCUCCCUUACUAGGUAUAAACCUUUUAAUGAUGGCAACUUUCAAUGUAAUUGAUCAAUUUCAUCCCAAAGAGAAGAAGCAAUACUUUGCAAAGCUAUGAGAGCAGAGACCAAUUUCCUGAAUCUAUGUCAUUUUGAAGACGUUGACUCCAUGUCUCAACUCCAAAGAUGGGACACUAAUCUUAGGCUAAGACGUUUGCUGUUUUCAGUAUAGAGAUCUUACAUGUUUAUUCUAAGCUCCUAUGAGGAAGUACUUAAUGAGUGAUCAACUAUUGCUCUCAAAAGAGAUGGCUACAGAGAGUGCCUGGAUUCAUCUGCAUUAAAACCCCUUGAGAAUUUUUAUAGGUUGAACCAAAACAGAAUAAUGAAAUGAACCCUCCUAGGCAGAAAGGCAGAAGCAGACAUGAAAGAUGAUUCUCUGAAUUAUUUGGCCUUUAUAGGAAGAACCAUGAUGAGCUUCUAGAAAAUGCAUUAUUGAUGUGAUGUAAUAAGGGGUGCUCAAAUAGCACCAGAUGCCACUACAUCUAGAUGGCCGCUGAGAACAGAUCCUUGAUUUAUUCACCAUGAUGAUUGGGUACAAAAGGCUGUUAAGAAUUGGGGCAAGGUUGAAUCGCUCUGCCUGAUUGGGGAGGAAAUUAUUUUAAUGAGACAAGAAGAGGAGGGAAGAAGAGAGCCAGUGGAUGCUGUCAAGGGAGAAGAAGAGGCUGGUGUCCAGAGACCAUACUGCCAGGAGGAGAUCAAACUCACUGCACCAUCCCAUUAACCUUCGCUUGGCAUCCCUAAAGGUGAUGGCGAGGUAAGUAAU